rnacentral:rRNA from 1 species
AGAGUUUGAUCCUGGCUCAGAUUGAACGCUGGCGGCAUGCCUAACACAUGCAAGUCGAACGGAAACGAUGCUAGCUNGCUAGCAGGCGUCGAGUGGCGGACGGGUGAGUAAUGCAUAGGAAUCUACCUAAUAGUGGGGGACAACCUGGUGAAAACCAGGCUAAUACCGCAUAAUCCCUACGGGGCAAAGCAGGGGACCUUCGGGCCUUGCGCUAAUAGAUGAGCCUAUGUCGGAUUAGCUAGUUGGUGAGGUAAUGGCUCACCAAGGCGACGAUCCGUAGCUGGUUUGAGAGAAUGAUCAGCCACACUGGGACUGAGACACGGCCCAGACUCCUACGGGAAGCAGCAGUGGGGAAUAUUGCACAAUGGAGGAAACUCUGAUGCAGCAAUGCCGCGUGUGUGAAGAAGGCCUUAGGGUUGUAAAGCACUUUCAGUAGGGAGGAAAAGUAAGUAGUUAAUAACUGCUUACCCUGACGUUACCUACAGAAGAAGCACCGGCUAACUCCGUGCCAGCAGCCGCGGUAAU